rnacentral:rRNA from 1 species
UACAGAGGUGGCAAGCGUUGUUCGGAAUUACUGGGCGUAAAGGGCGCGUAGGCGGCCUUCUAAGUCGGACGUGAAAUCCCCAGGCUUAACUUGGGAACUGCGUCUGAUACUGGAUGGCUUGAGGUUGGGAGAGGGAUGCGGAAUUCCAGGUGUAGCGGUGAAAUGCGUAGAUAUCUGGAGGAACACCGGUGGCGAAGGCGGCAUCCUGGACCAAUUCUGACGCUGAGUGAGCGAAAGCCAGGGGAGCAAACGGG